rnacentral:tRNA from 5 species
GUUUCCGUAGCCCAACCGGCAGAGGCACGCCCCUAAACGGCGUUCAGCGCAGGUUCGAAGCCUGCCGGGAACACGA